CCACACGAGUGAGAAUGCAGGCAUGAGUAGCGAAAGACGUGCGAGAAACACGUCCUCCGAAAGACCAAGGGUUCCAGGGUCAAGCUAAUCUGCCCUGGGUAAGUCGGGACCUAAGGCGAGGCCGACAGGCGUAGUCGAUGGACAACGGGUUGAUAUUCCCGUACCGGCGAAGAACCGCCCAAGCUAAUCCAGUGGUGCUAAGAGUCCUAAUCCGGCUGACGGAUCCCUUCGGGGUGAAGCUGCCGGCCUAACGCUCGACCCCAUGCUGGUGCGGCUAGCGUA
rnacentral:rRNA from 1 species